UACGAAGGGGGCUAGCGUUGUUCGGAAUUACUGGGCGUAAAGAGCGCGCAGGCGGUCGUUCAAGUCGAGUGUGAAAGCCCCCGGCUCAACUGGGGAGGGUCACUCGAUACUGAUCGACUCGAAGGCAGGAGAGGGUAGUGGAAUUCCCGGUGUAGUGGUGAAAUGCGUAGAUAUCGGGAGGAACACCAGUGGCGAAGGCGACUACCUGGCCUGUUCUUGACGCUGAGGCGCGAAAGCUAGGGGAGCAAACGGG
rnacentral:rRNA from 1 species